UAGGGAAUAUUGCACAAUGGAGGAAACUCUGAUGCAGCGACGCCGCGUGAGUGAUGAAGGACUUCGGUUCGUAAAGCUCUGUUGCAAGGGAAUAAAAAAAUGAAUGUACCUUGUGAGGAAGGGUCGGCUAACUUCGUGCCAGCAGCCGCGGUAAGACGAGGGACCCUAGCGUUGUUCGGAAUCAUUGGGCGUAAAGCGGGUGUAGGUGGCUUUGUAAGUCAGGUGUGAAAUCCCAGGGCUCAACCCUGGAAGUGCAUCUGAUACUGCGAAGCUUGAGUGCUGGAGAGGUUACUGGAAUACCUGGUGUAGUGGUGAAAUACGUAGAUAUCAGGUGGAACACCGGAGGCGAAGGCGGGUAACUGGCCAGACACUGACACUCAGACCCGAAAGCGUGGGGAUCAAACAGGAUUAGAUACCCUGGUAGUCCCUGAGCGGGCUGGCAAGGCGCA
rnacentral:rRNA from 1 species